rnacentral:misc_RNA from 1 species
UACGUAGGUGGCAAGCGUUGUCCGGGAUUAUUGGGCGUAAAGCGCGCGCAGGCGGUCUUUUAAGUCUGAUGUGAAAGCCCACGGCUCAACCGUGGAGGGUCAUUGGAAACUGGAGGACUUGAGUGCAGAAGAGGAAAGUGGAAUUCCACGUGUAGCGGUGAAAUGCGUAGAGAUGUGGGGGUACACCAGUGGCGAAGGCGACUUUCUGGUCUGUAACUGACGCUCAUCCGCGAAAGCGUGGGGAGCAAACAGG